GUAGUUAGCCGGGGCUUUCUUACAGGGUACCGUCACUUCUUCGUCCCCUGCGACAGAGGUUUACAAUCCGAAAACCUUCUUCCCUCACGCGGCGUUGCUGGGUCAGGCUUGCGCCCAUUGCCCAAUAUUCCCCACUGCUGCCUCCCGUAGGAGUCUGGACCGUGUCUCAGUUCCAGUGUGGCCGAUCAGCCUCUCAGCUCGGCUACCCAUCGUCGGCUUGGUGGGCUGUUAUCUCACCAACUACCUAAUGGGACGCGAACCCCUCUAAAAGCGAUAAAUCUUUGACCUCUUCCCGAUGCCGGGUUGUGGUCUUAUGCGGUAUUAGCAGUUGUUUCCACCUGUUAUUCCCCACUCUUAGGCAGGUUACUCACGCGUUACUCACCCGUCCGCCACUAACCUUUGAAAGCAAGCUUUCAAUCGGUCCGUUCGACUUGCAUGUGUUAGGCACGCCGCCAGCGUUCGUCCUGAGCCAGGAUCAAACUCUGA
rnacentral:rRNA from 1 species